UCAGCCACAUCCAUGCUAUCUCCUAAAGCAGUCAUUCUGAAACCCAAUCUGGGGACAGUGCAGACUAAAUAAAAUUUCAUUUUGAUUUGGCCUCCCGCUGAGAAUGGGACUGCUUUGUUUCAGCCGACAGAACCAGCAAGCCAGAAAGGUGUUGAAUACACAAAUACUGACUUAACGGACAAUUAUAGACAUGGAAAAUCCUGUAUGUACUGUAUGCAGUUUGCAUCAUUCAGCAUCCAGUCAACAAGGACAAUACUUCGGAUUUUUCAUAAGAGUGGCUGUACUGGAGCACUUUAGACUGGAGACAUUUGUACAGAACAGGAUAUCCCUCCCCUGCUCAGAAGGGAAUGGAUCCCCUGUUAGAUCUGCCAUCCCAGAUGCCUUGAUCACCUUACAGCAUCUCAAAGGAUGAAAGACAGAUAUGUCCCCAGUGACCAUGACCAUGAGAAAGAUUCUUGCACAAGGACAUUUGAAAUGAUGAAAGAAGCAAUAUAGUUGGGAUGUUCAAACUUUCAUAACCCGUCUUCAUAUUAAGCAAGAAACACCUCUUUAAAACACGUAUUAUGGGACCAGAUGAACAUGUCCUUCAGACUUUGAGAAGUAUUUAAAACGCUCCAGUAGAUGAAGAUUCUUUGGACAGACUGCAGUUUACUUCCAUAUUUGUUCGGUGCACUGCACACCAAGUUACCAGACCCAAUGAUGGCCUACAGACACAGCUAUCAUGGACAUGCCAGUUAAUGAACUUGGAGCUCUCUCCCACUCUCUGCUGCCCAUCACCUAGUAUUUUAACAUUUUGUGUCAGUUCUGUGAGGAACACAGAGAAGCAGUUUGGUUAUCACUGUUUCCAUCUGCAGGAAGUCAGAAACAUGCAUGAAGUAUGAAGCAUUAAAACUUUCCAAAAUUAGCCACUUAUUCAGAAGAUUGGUCUCCUUUUGUGUUGCUAAUGGCUGCUUCUUCAGAUCACUCCUGAAGAGAGUCAAUCUCACUACAUCAUCUAACUCUGAUGCCAAAAGUCAGGAAGCAUGAAAUAACGUCAAGAUUUCCAUUUCUAUCCUUCUGCAAGAAACCAGCAAGGUAGCUGUGUUUGAAACCUUCUCUCACCAGAGAGAGACAAGAAGUUAAGCAACUUACUUGCAUUGUAGCUUGAGAGAGGUCCACUGGGGACUGAAGUUUUCUGCAGCUUGCUGGGCAAAGAGGAACCUUCUUACACAGUGCUGAAAUUUUGCCCGAACCUUGCAUAUUGAUGUGCAAACUUCUCAAAGAUGUUCACAGAUCUCAGGGUUACCUGAAAUCUCAUACAAUGCAGGUUUUCUAUGAUACAAGGUUUCCUUAUAAAUGUUUCACAGUGCUCUUCUCUUCAAGUUUCCAAAAAGAGAUACUGCAUAAUUUAUGGAUGCUCUGUUCAACAUCCAACCCCUGUGAAUAUGCCCUGUAGUUUAGGUAUGACUUCAUAUAAAAUAGCAAGUCCACCAAAUACAGAAGAGAGAAGAGUCGUAAUAGACUCUUUGUCUGAACCAUCAAGGCUUGGGAGAUAUGAGCUUACUGUUGGGAAGUUUUUAAGAGCCCAAGGCACAGAAAGAUCAAUGUCAAAGGAAGCACGUGUAGUAGGUAGUGGAGUGGAGUUGAUACUACACAUAAAUAAGAGGAAAAUGUACAGAUACUAAAAGCUGUAUCUCCACUGAGCAGUUCUAACAACACAGAACAACAGCACCAACAAAAAUCCACUUCGCACAGGCCACCAUGGAGGAUGCCUGGAGAGAUUCCAGCUGAUUUCCACAAGGUUCAGUAAAGAUGCCAGUGUCCAUCAGGGUGGCUAUAUAUGCAAAGCUGAGCUCUCAGUUAUGGGAUCACCCGAGCUCUAAUGGAAUUAGAGCCUUAUAAUUCUCUGUUGCUUGCUAUUUAUUUUCUAUUUGAAUAUCAAAUAAUUACUGAAACCAUAUUUGUUUACUUUGAACAGUCACUUAGUACAUAUAAUGCAAUUUAUGAUUACUCUUUCGUCCCUUAUUCACACUGGCUACCGUAUCGACCUGUAUUGCCUGAUUCUGAUUUGCCCUUAAUUAUCCAUCUCUUCGACUGCUGCUCCUAACUUAUCCUCUCAAGCUUAUGGAAAGUGAAUUUCUGUAUUUCUUUCAAGCUUUUGAGAGUGAGAUUUUGUAUUUUGUUCAUUUUUUUCCAACCCAUCUGUCACAGCAGUAAAGAAAUAAGUAUUACUCAACUCACUAUUAAUGUACAAGGAAGGAAGGAAGGAAGGAAGGAAGGAAGGAAGGAAGGAAGGAAGGAAAUCUUUUGUUCCAGAUCAAGUUGAUAUCUACAACCUUGUAGACAAACUACAGUAACGUUUUGGUUGAUGUAGAAAGUUUUUAUCCUUAACAGCCAUGCUAGUAACUAGGACUGGUUGCGUUAACCUAUAAAAAUCUAUGCUAUUUGUAACAGAACUUCAAGAAAGGUGAACUUAUAUGAAGAAUGAAGUAUGAAUAAAAAUUAUGUAUGAAGUAUGAAGACAACAUUUAGAUUUACUGAGAAGCAGAAUAAAUGAUUAUAGAGAUAUAUAGCAAAUUUCCCUUUUUAUAAAAACCGCCUUCUCUUUGUUUCCCCUUCUCUCUUGUCCCUUUGCUUCACUAAGUACUUUGGGACUGCAGCCUGGCAAUUUUCCUACUUUGCACUGAGUUACUGAAAUAGCCUGAGAACAAAUGCUAAAGGAAUGGAUUUUAAAGUUGGUAAUGGUGUCUAUCCGUAGUGAAGGAGGCAUAGAAUAUACAGCUGAGCCUUACCUGGUACAGAUAGAUUGUCAUUUCUCAGACACCUGCAUACACUGCAGAUUCCCGUAAGAACUUCCAGGCUCACAAAACACAACAAAAGAGUUCUGCAUGUCAGUGGCACUAAGAUUUCACCUGAUGUGUUAACCCAGAAUUAUCCUGGCUGUUGUACUAACUUAGUUCCUUUCACCCAUAGAUAUUUUCACCACAUACCAUGUUACAGCUUAGGAGUGUCCAGUUCAGUGAAAGCUGCAUAAGUCGAAAACAUCACAACUGAAUUCAGGAGGAAAUUGAGCACAAUUAAAACUCCUGGAAACCUUUUUAUUUUUUUUUUCCUUUUUCUGAAGCCUAAUACAAAAUGUUGAACACUAAUGACAUUGUCUGCUUAUGCUUAACUUUAAAACUACCAGUUAUUAAAUAAGCCAUUUAUUACCAUUUGCAAAUGAGUUUCCAUUCCUGCUGAGUUGAGAAUUGCCUUUUUUUUAGCCACCUAGCUGCACACUUUUUCCUGACUGUUUAAGAUUUUACCUUAAGAAUUUCCUAAGUUUUGUUCCAGCAUCAUCUGAUAUUUGAAUCUCAAAGAACUAAAAUUUAUGGAAUAAUAUAAAUGUUAAGGCUUUACAGUUAUGGACAUAGCAGUUUUCAAGGUUAAGCACUUUAUUUGAGGAUUUGUAAAUGUCAAAACAUGUAAGAGGUAUUGGGAAAUAUAAUUAGACUAUAUCUCAAAAUGUUUGUUGGAAAGGAAGGAAAAUGGUCCAUUUGAUCUGUAUUUUCAUAUUCCCAACUUUUGACUAUAAUGCUGUCUCAUCCAGGAGAUCCCAAACAUAUAUCUAGAAUGGAACUGUGCAAUAAGAUCCCCAAAUUAAACAAUUAAGUAAUACAAUUAAAAAGCUUUUUUUAAUAAAGGUUUAAGAGUAAUGAGGCAACAAGGAUUCACCGUAUGGCAACAUUUCAUUAUGAAACUCAGUAACACAGCAAAACUAUCAGUUUUCCCUUGUUGCCUUCCAAGAAAAUGCUGUUACUUUCCAAAAGACAUUAUGCUCAAUUAAUCCCUAGUGGCAUCAAGGGAUGCUAGCUGCAUGUUCCUCCACCAGGAGCAUCCUGUGUACAGCAAAGAUGGCAAGCUAAUUUGCACAGCUCCCAUCCUGCAGGGAUUUUGCCAUUAGACAGGGUGUAACUGCAAAAUCUAUAUUUAUUUCUAACCUUCCCUUCCCUCUACCCCUUGUGUGCUCCUGAGCCAUUUGUUUACAUGCAAAAUCUGAUAACAGUGCCAGCUUUUCCUUCUCUUUUGUCUUUAUUCUUCCCCUCCAGAUUCACUUUUUACUUUUUUUCCAUGUUGCCUUUGCAAAAUCUGCCAAGAAGGAAGGGUAAUUAGCCCUCACCGAGCCCCUGUUCCUGAGGCUAGGUUACCAAGCUGCCUAACUUAAAACUGACUCCAGCAUCUCCAUGCUGCAUGCAGUCACUUCUGUCUUCUGACUGCAAUAUAGUCAUAAAUUUAGCUCAAGAACAUUUCAGAGGGGGAGGCUGUCUUUUCAUUACAUGCUCAAUAUCCAUUAUAAUGGAACCUGGCUUCUAGUUCAGGGCCCGAAGGCAUAUCACAAUGCAAAUAAUAGACAAUAAUAAUAAUAAAAAGGAAAUUUUCAUCACAAGAAACUUGAUUAGUCUCCUGCAUCCUGAGUAAAAGUGUCUAUAUUUAUAUAAAGUUUUAUAAUUUUUGUUUUGUGUUUUUAAAUACAAUGCUAGUAAUUUCCUAUUUAACCUGAUUUUCAUGCAGGUAUAUUUAUGCCUCAGAAUUCCAGUGAGUUCCCUUAGCUGAUGUUCAAAAUACACCGCUCAAAUUACUAUAUCAUCCCAAACAUAAGCUUUUGGAAACUCCACAGUAACAAUUUUAUCUGGGGCAACAAAUUAUUUGUUACAUGGAAAUGGAAAUAUACUAUAUGGAUUAUUUCUUGUGAUAUUCUGCCAGUACAGUACUUUCAUUCACAUGCUAUUAAAGACAAUGCAGCAAUGUUUUCAUGAUGUCUUACAGCUCCCAAGGGGGAAAUGGUUUCAAACUAAAAGAGGGGAGAUUUAGAUUGGAUAUAUGGAAGAAGUGUUUCACAAUAAAGGUGGUGAGGCACUGGCACAGGUUGACCGGGGAGAUGGCAGAUGCCCUUUGAGACAUUCAAGGUCAGGCUGGACAGUGCUCUGAGCACCUGAUCAAGAGGUAGGUGUCCCUGUUAUUGCAGGAAAGUUGGACUAGAUGACCUCUAAGGUACCCUUCCAACUCAAUGAUUCUAUGAUUCUAUGGAAGAUAUCACCCUGAGAAUUAGAGGUUACACACGUUUCUUGAUAGGAUGGAAUUUAAAUUAAUAUUUGUAUAUUACGUUCUUGUUUGAACGUUAUCACUACUAAAACUUUUUUUCCUCUUAUUCAUGCAGACUUUGGGAGAGCCCACAUGAUAAGUAAUCAGCUUGUAGUAGACUUGCAGUUUUGAAGAACAGAUGAUUCAAUCACUGGGAGUCUGCUCUGCAUCAGCAGUAUCUGUUCUAUAGCAACUGCAGAUGGGCAGAAAGAGCAGGCUUUUUUAGUUAAUCUGCAGAAACUUUCCUAUAUGCCACAGUGACCAAAAUUAAUUAUACAGACAUUUAUUUCAGUAUUUUCUUUAUUAAUUUUGUUCAAGUCCCUCUUUGGGUCCUAUUACAAGCUAAAGAUGACUAAUUAUAAUAAAAGAAAAAAAAAAAUUAAGAAAAAUCGAUAGAAGAGAUUAUAUGCCAAAAAAAAAAAAAAAAAAAAAAAACAGAAAAACAACAAAAAAAAAACCUGUCCAUACACAGAGAUUCAACAACAUAGAAAGAAUAUGGAUAUGUACCAACUGAAUCAAUUUCACAGAAGUGCUGAAUUAAACUUUAAGAAUAACUUGACAAGAUUUGUGAUGUAGUGAUUUUUUAUGGUAAAGGAUUCUGUGGGGAUCGAUUUUACAUUCAAUAAUAUUCAGAGAUGUUGUUGUCACUAUUUUACGUAGUCUAUCCACUUGGAGUUUCCUAAACUUCAUUCUCAUGUAGCUCAUUGUUCCUGAGGCUACCUCAUUUAGACCAUUCCCCAUUUGCUGUCAACUAAGUGCUGUUUGGUUUCUUGAGGAAUGUGGCUGAGUCUGGCAAGAACACAGUGAAAAGUACCAUCAAAACACUGAAAUAAGAUAUGCACAUCCCACUCAGACAUACAUUAAUGUAUCUACUAUAAACUUAGUGGAAAACUAAGCACGUCUGUUUUCUUGUUUUUUUUUUUUCCUACCUCUCUGCCAAGAAAGUUCUUCAAGGGGCUGAUGGCAGACCCUUUCUUUUUUCAUUUUUUUUAGUAUUACAGACAAGACUUUUAUCUCAAGCAGGAGGGCACAUCACCUUCUCUGAGCCUCCCAGCCUUCAUUCCCACCUUCCUCCUAAAGAAAGCCUUUUUUUCUUCUUCCACCUCUUCUCCUGUGAACUUGCCCAUCUGUUUCUAUUUACUACCAGAUCCUCCCCUCCCACACUUCCCGUACAGCCAGUAAACCGCACAGUGCUGUUCUUCUGCCUCUUCCUCCCCCAGGACUUUGCCCAUGGAAGCACUUUCCCUCUUCUUCCUGAGGACUUGCUUCUCCAAUUAAGGGGGUGGCUUGCCCCAGGCAUGCUGCUCCUGGGUUUUAAGUGGCAUCCUGCCUCUGGGCUACGAGAAAUUCCCAAUCCACUGUGAUGGCCAACCUUGAAGCUCUGCUGACUCCCUGUCAGCUCCCUGCCACCCACAGGCUCCUCAGCUCAAAUCACAGGAUGAGGCAUACUACAACAUACUCCAGGCAUCCGUGCAGUGGGAUUUCAUCAGCAGUGGUACAAAACUGGUAUUGCUUCUCUUGGAGGACAUCCCACUCUAGGACACGUAUCCACACAUGUGCAUGCCACGUUUCCAGUCAACAGCUCUUCAGUGAGUGUGUCGUUUCUUGCUUCUUCACCUGCCUGUGUGCUGGCUUUAAUCAGCUCAGAGCAAAAUGCUGUUUUCUUAAAUGUUUAUGCAAUGCUUAGUGAAAAGCCAAGGCCACUCAGAAAUAAAAAUGCUAUGUACAGAUAGUGAAUGGGAGGAUUUAAAAAUAAAGGAAGGAAACAAAAUUGGAGGUGAUACAAUUUAUAUGCAUUUCUUUUUCAAAUAAAUAGCAGAAGUGGAUCAGGAACUCGCAUCUUUCCUGUCAUGCCAUUGUACAAGCAUUAGGAAAUGCUGCCUAAAAGUAAAAGCUGAGCUGUGGAAACUCAUGAAAAGAAAAUACUUCCCCUCCCCAGCCUCAGUGUGUAAUUAGCCUGUGGCAAUAAUUGCCCUUGUGUGACACUGAGGCCAAGGUCUCUGUAAAGUAGUUAUACAGAUAGUACAAAAUACUUGCAGUUAUCUUUAUUAUAAGAGGGAUACCAACCCAACCCUUCAGGGUUUAGGUCAGCUUCUGUUAAAGAACAGGAGGAGACCUGAUACACUGUUACUUUCAGAGAGACUGAAUAUUGGACCUGAGAGACCUGUCAUCUGAUCCUAUACCACAUUUUUUAAGGUAAAAAGGGAAAGAUCAUACAACAGAGCAACACAACAUGAAAUAAAACCAGGCAUUUUUUUUUCUGAGUGUACAGUGGAUGCUACUGGCUGCCACCAAUGCUUCUCGGGUCCUUCUCUUUCUGAAAGCAGAAGGUUGGAGGGUCAAAAGGAAGAGAGCGGUAGGGAAAAAAGAUACAGCAGCAUAUAAAGAGAAUAAAAGAAUGAGAAUGAGAAAACACAGAGCUGGUGUUUAAUUAAACUCUAUUUAUUGUAGAUUAAUAUUGAGGUAGGACAAUCCAUGUUUUUUGGUUUAUUUUAUUUUUAAUUAUUUAGAGACUACAUAUUUACCUUUGUCUCAUAGAAAUAGGUUUUUGAGGAUCAUAUUCUUUGACCUAGAAGCUACUUUUAUGGUUUAUCUAGGUGAUCAUCCAUAUACCACCAAGUCUGAUUUUGUUCCUAGUUCCAUUUACAGCAAUGUUAAUUUAUUACUACAAUUAGUCAAUCCUGGGAAGGAUUGUCCAGUAAUACUAACUUGUGAAGAUCUGAUAUUGUGCCCUGUUACAGUUAGAGAACAAACAUAUUAUAAAGACCACUAUUUUUGUGCCAGUUGUAAAAACAAAGCAUGUACUUAAUAAAAAGACUAUUAAAUAAAUCAUGAUUUUAUGGCAUCUAAUUAAUGUAUAAACAGUGAUAGCAAGAUAUGGAUGAACCAUUCUAGACAAGAUAGCAAGCCAAACACUUGUUGAAGUUUGCUAAAUUUGGUUUGGUUUUGCUUUGUCAAUUUCUCCUCAUGUCUUUCAAGGUUCCCACCCCUCCAUUUCUGCCUUCCUCCCCCCCUAAAAAAAGGAAAAGAAAACCUGAUUUAAUACAAAAUACUAAGACAAAUGCUACAUUUAAUAUAUCACUGACCCAUCUGAGGUUGUAACCGAACACAGUCUUACUAAAAACGUGGCCAACUUGUUAUAAACUUGACCACUGUCAGUACAU